GACAGAGGGGGCAAGCGUUGCUCGGAAUUACUGGGCGUAAAGGGCGCGUAGGCGGGAUGGCAAGUCGGUCGUGAAAUCCCUCGGCUCAACCGAGGAACGUCGAUCGAUACUGCUGUUCUUGAGGAUUGCAGAGGAGACUGGAAUUCCCGGUGUAGCGGUGAAAUGUGUAGAGAUCGGGGAGGAACACCGGUGGCGAAGGCGGGUCUCUGGGCAAUACUGACGCUCAUGUGCGAAAGCGUGGGGAGCAAACAGG
rnacentral:rRNA from 1 species